AAAAAAAAGAGAAAAAGAGAAAAUAAUAUUGACCUUGAAAAAGACGAUAGUGUGAAAGCCGUCGUUGUAAAAAUUCGAGUAAACUGGAAUAUUACAGAUAAAGCCCAUGAGGUAUUAAAGUAAACAUCCACAACUCUCGAAAUCCUGCAAGGUAGGAUGAUUUUGAAUCAGUGAUUAGGUCUUAUUUGACCAAUUCUUGGAAACUACUAGUUUUAGCAGUAUUUUGGAGAAUCUAAAGCCUUAGCUGUAUGGUCCAGACAUCACCGAGCACCCAAGUAUAAAUUAGCCUUACAACUCUCUAACAGAAACUUAAUGACUUCAACUUAAAUUGCAUACUGACUUAGAAUUUGGGCUGACUUAGUAAUUAAAACUUUGUGUGCUUUUAAAAUUAUUGGCACUUAUGCAUUUAAAAUUAGAUUUUAUAAAGCAAUAAAACAAAUUCAUUAGGUAGAGACAACAGUUUGUAGGUAUCUGAGCCGGAAACCCUCACGAGACAAAACUCGUCCACUAGGGCCACCUAGGAGUUUAAAGCCUUAUUGCAUACGGUAAAUACAAUCGCGAUUCCUGCGAAAGUGAGUUAGUUUUUUUUUAUUUUAUUUUGCUUGAGGACUAGCAAAUUGUAGGUUGGGGGGUGUGAUAAGUGCUAAAUAAUGCAUAAAUUCAUAUCUUAUUCAUAGCACUAAAAAAUGCAUAUUUUGUAAAUUUAACUAAAAAAUGUGUUACCCUCAUCAUUGCAUUUUAAUAAAUUAAUUCGAGUUUGUUUUACUUAUUUAUUUACUGAUUGAGUUUAAUGUAUGCAGGUCAAGUCAAAUUCAUUAAUUUCUGAACCCAAAUCGUAUGCACCCCGCAAAUCAAAAUCCUCUCAGAUCCAUCCUCCCUUGUUUCUUUCCCACAUUUGACUCCACCAAACUUUCCUGCGUCACAUCUCAGUCACCUAAUUUUCUUCCCACACAUGUUCCCAGCUGAAUAGGAUCACAUCCCCUGUAUCAAACUCCCGGGAUUCACUUCCCAGUCGUUCACCAGUCAUUUUUUCCAUAUCAUCUCCAUUUAAAAAUUCAAUAUUCCGAGUCAACCCCAAUUCCUUUUCUUAGUGUAUUCCUCCUAAACAGUUUAUUUCUCCUUCACUCCCACGUUCACAAACAAAGUCUCAACAUCUUCACUCCCAGCCGCAUCCCUUCAUUACCGUUUAGCAUCCAUCAACAAAUUCCACGCGUCUCUCUUCCAACCUCCCCUGUUCCGAGAUCAUCUUUAUCUCGCGGAACAACCAAUCUCACGCGUGCAUGGCCUCCGCAGCCCACAUCCUGUCCG
rnacentral:lncRNA from 1 species